UACAGAGGUCUCAAGCGUUGUUCGGAUUCAUUGGGCGUAAAGGGUGUGUAGGUGGCGCCGUAAGUCGGGUGUGAAAUUUCGGAGCUUAACUCCGAAACUGCAUUCGAUACUGCGGUGCUUGAGGACUGGAGAGGAGACUGGAAUUCAUGGUGUAGCAGUGAAAUGCGUAGAGAUCAUGAGGAAGACCAGUGGCGAAGGCGGCGCUCUGGGCCGGAACUGACGCUGAGGAGCGAAAGCGUGGGUAGCAAACAGG
rnacentral:rRNA from 1 species